AGUGAAUAGAUACCCAGGUAGUCCACGCCCUAAACGAUGCGAACUAGGUGUUGGGGAAGGAGACUUUCUUAGUACCGCAGCUAAACGCGUGAAGUUCGCCGCCUGGGGAGUACGGUCGCAAGAUUAAAACUCAAAGGAAUUGACGGGGACCCGCACAAGCGGUGGAUGAUGUGGAUUAAAUUCGAUGCAACGCGAAAAACCUUACCUACCCUUGACAUGUCAGGAAGUCCGCUGAGAGGUGGAUGUGCCCGAAAGGGAGCCUGAACACAGGUGCUGCAUGGCUGUCGUCAGCUCGUGUCGUGAGAUGUUGGGUUAAGUCCCGCAACGAGCGCAACCCUUGUCAUUAAUUGCCAUCAUUCAGUUGGGCACUUUAAUGAGACUGCCGGUGACAAACCGGAGGAAGGUGGGGAUGACGUCAAGUCCUCAUGGCCCUUAUGGGUAGGGCUUCACACGUCAUACAAUGGUCGGUACAGAGGGUUGCCAACCCGCGAGGGGAGCCAAUCCCACAAAGCCGAUCGUAGUCCGGAUCGCAGUCUGC
rnacentral:rRNA from 1 species